rnacentral:rRNA from 1 species
AUUGAACGCUGGCGGUAUGCUUAACACAUGCAAGUCGAACGAUGAGAAAGAGCUUGCUCUUUCGAUUAGUGGCGGACGGGUGCGUAACGCGUAGGAAUCUACCUAUUAGUGGGGGACAACUUAGGGAAACUUAAGCUAAUACCGCAUACGCCCUACGGGGGAAAGAAGGGGAUCGCAAGACCUUUUGCUAAUAGAUGAGCCUGCGUAGGAUUAGCUAGUUGGUGGGGUAAAAGCCCACCAAGGCGACGAUCCUUAACUGGUUUAAGAGAAUGAUCAGUCACACUUGAACGGAGACACGGUCCAGACUCCUACGGGAGGCAGCAGUGGGGAAUAUUGGACAAUGGGCGAAAGCCUGAUCCAGCAAUACCGCGUGUGUGAAGAAGGCCUUAGGGUUGUAAAGCACUUUCAAUUGGAAGGAAAACCUCGAAGCUAAUACCUUCGAGUUUGACAUUACCUUUAGAAGAAGCACCGGCUAACUCCGUGCCAGCCGCCGCCGUAAAAC